rnacentral:rRNA from 1 species
UCCUACGGGAGGCAGCAGUGAGGAAUAUUGGUCAAUGGGCGCAAGCCUGAACCAGCCAUGCCGCGUGCAGGAUGACGGUCCUAUGGAUUGUAAACUGCUUUUGUACGGGAAGAAACACUCCUACGAGUAGGAGCCUGACGGUACCGUAAGAAUAAGGAUCGGCUAACUCCGUGCCAGCAGCCGCGGUAAU